rnacentral:rRNA from 1 species
UGGGGAAUAUUGCACAAUGGGCGCAAGCCUGAUGCAGCCAUGCCGCGUGUGUGAAGAAGGCCUUCGGGUUGUAAAGCACUUUCAGCGAGGAGGAAGGUGGUGAGCUUAAUACGCUCAUCAAUUGACGUUACUCGCAGAAGAAGCACCGGCUAACUCCGUGCCAGCAGCCGCGGUAAUACGGAGGGUGCAAGCGUUAAUCGGAAUUACUGGGCGUAAAGCGCACGCAGGCGGUUUGUUAAGUCAGAUGUGAAAUCCCCGGGCUCAACCUGGGAACUGCAUUUGAAACUGGCAAGCUAGAGUCUCGUAGAGGGGGGUAGAAUUCCAGGUGUAGCGGUGAAAUGCGUAGAGAUCUGGAGGAAUACCGGUGGCGAAGGCGGCCCCCUGGACGAAGACUGACGCUCAGGUGCGAAAGCGUGGGGAGCAAACAGGAUUAGAUACCCCUGGUAGUCCACUCUGUAAAACGAUGUCGAUUUUGGAGGUUGUGCCCUUGAGGCGUGGCUUCCGGAGCUAACGCGUUAAAUCGACCGCCUGGGGAGUACGGCCGCAAGGUUAAAACU